rnacentral:rRNA from 1 species
AUUGAACGCUGGCGGCAGGCCUAACUCAUGCAAGUCGAGCGAGCGGCGGACGGGUGAGUAAUGUAUGGGGAUCUGCCUGAUGUAGGGGGAUAACUACUGGAAAAGGUGGCUACUACCGCAUACUAUCCGAUGGGCACAUAUGGGAUUAGCUAGUGGGUGGGGUAAAGGCUCACCUAGGGGACGAUCCCUAGCUGGUCUGAGAGGAUGAGCGGCCACACUGGGACUGAGACACGGCCCAGACUCCUACGGGAGGCAGCAGUGGGGAAUAUUGCACAAUGGGCGCAAGCCUGAUGGAGCCAUGCCGCGUGAGUGAAGAAGGUUUUCGGAUCGUAAAACUCUGUUGUUAGAGAAGCGGUAUCUAACCAGAAAGCCACGGCUAACUACGUGCCAGCAGCCGCGGUAAUAC